AGUCGUGUGAUUGGAUUAAGAGCUUGCUCUUAUGAAGUUAGCGGCGGACGGGUGAGUAACACGUGGGUAACCUGCCCAUAAGACUGGGAUAACUCCGGGAAACCGGGGCUAAUACCGGAUAACAUUUUGAACUGCAUGGUUCGAAAUUGAAAGGCGGCUUCGGCUGUCACUUAUGGAUGGACCCGCGUCGCAUUAGCUAGUUGGUGAGGUAACGGCUCACCAAGGCAACGAUGCGUAGCCGACCUGAGAGGGUGAUCGGCCACACUGGGACUGAGACACGGCCCAGACUCCUACGGGAGGCAGCAGUAGGGAAUCUUCCGCAAUGGACGAAAGUCUGACGGAGCAACGCCGCGUGAGUGAUGAAGGCUUUCGGGUCGUAAAACUCUGUUGUUAGGGAAGAACAAGUGCUAGUUGAAUAAGCUGGCACCUUGACGGUACCUAACCAGAAAGCCACGGCUAACUACGUGCCAGCAGCCGCGGUAAUACGUAGGUGGCAAGCGUUAUCCGGAAUUAUUGGGCGUAAAGCGCGCGCAGGUGGUUUCUUAAGUCUGAUGUGAAAGCCCACGGCUCAACCGUGGAGGGUCAUUGGAAACUGGGAGACUUGAGUGCAGAAGAGGAAAGUGGAAUUCCAUGUGUAGCGGUGAAAUGCGUAUAGAUAUGGAGGAACACCAGUGGCGAAGGCGACUUUCUGGUCUGUAACUGACACUGAGGCGCGAAAGCGUGGGGAGCAAACAGGAUUAAAUACCCUGGUAGUCCACGCCGUAAACAAUGAGUGCUAAGUGUUAGAGAGAUUUCCCCCCUUUACUGCUGAAAGUUAACGCAUUUAAGCAC
rnacentral:rRNA from 1 species